rnacentral:rRNA from 1 species
ACUCCUACGGGAGGCAGCAGUGGGGAAUUUUGGACAAUGGGCGAAAGCCUGAUCCAGCAAUGCCGCGUGAGUGAAGAAGGCCUUCGGGUUGUAAAGCUCUUUUGUCAGGGAAGAAACGGUGAGAGCUAAUAUCUCUUGCUAAUGACGGUACCUGAAGAAUAAGCACCGGCUAACUACGUGCCAGCAGCCGCGGUAAUACGUAGGGUGCAAGCGUUAAUCGGAAUUACUGGGCGUAAAGCGUGCGCAGGCGGUUUUGUAAGUCUGAUGUGAAAUCCCCGGGCUCAACCUGGGAAUUGCAUUGGAGACUGCAAGGCUAGAAUCUGGCAGAGGGGGGUAGAAUUCCACGUGUAGCAGUGAAAUGCGUAGAUAUGUGGAGGAACACCGACGGCGAAGGCAGCCCCCUGGGUCAAGAUUGACGCUCAUGCACGAAAGCGUGGGGAGCAAACAGGAUUAGAAACCCCAGUAGUCCCAUGA